UGGCUUCUGGAGUCUUCUAGAUGGUAGAAAAUUGCACGGUGGGUUGAUAUCUCUAUGUAAUCCCGACAUGUGGGCCUUUCUUCCUUAUUUCCUGAUAACCCCCUGCAGAAAUAGACAAACACCAAAACUCGUGGAAUUCUGUCAGAUAAAACCCUAAGUCUAGAUGUUGAUUUCAUUUGGAUCUUUUUCUUUGUUUAUUUGAUAAUUAAAUUUGAUACUUAAGGACCGUCAACAAACUCCCCCAAGCUUACCUCUUGCUCGUCCCUGAGCAAGGAUAGACUCAGCUAUGGAUCAUAAGUAGUUGCAAUAUCUUUAAAAAUUUGACGGUACACAUGCUUUUAAAUAAGAUCUCAUCUCUGGGUUAGAGUAAACUGUUAAGACUUAAAACUUACUUACUUUACCUACACCAUUGGACUUGUAACCGUCACUUCUGUCUUGAGUGGUUAAAAGAUAGAACAGUCUAGCCAAGUGCCAUGUCUCUUAUUCUUGAUCAGCUAUAGCUCUGGGGUUUUUGCAGAUUUUCAAAUAAAACUCAGAAAUUCCUUGUAUGAUUCUCUCAGGUCUCUCUUUUGUGGUAUUUUUGGAUCCUUCCCAAGGCAGUGAUGGUAUAUGCCUUCUCUCAAGAAAUGUAGUAUUUGUGGUAUGAAGCAUAGUGACAUUGUCUUCUCUCUCACCCUACUCUAAUAAGGCUUUAAUAUCUGGAGCUCAUAGGUGGGAGAUAAAGUAUGCAUACUUACAAGACAUUUAUUGCAUAGUCAAACCAUGGAUCCAAAGAAACAAAUCAAUAAGCCAAAUCGAGAUGUGCAUGUGUGGCGAAUGAAUGGUGUAUGGUGAUGAUGGUGAUAACAAUGGUGGUGGAAGUCUAAUUCUACUUUGCUCUUUGAGGGGAUACAUACCUUCCUUGCUUUUGAAACUUUAUGAGGAGAAUGAGAUGCUCUUCUUUUUUUCUCUCAGGUGGGUAUCUUGCACCCCUAAUUCUACUGUCGGACACUUGUCCAUUUUUACCUCUCGUCUUACUUUUUCUUUUCUUUCGAGGUUCCGAGCACUUGCUCCUUUUUAUUUCCUCGUAUCUUUUAUUUUCUUUUUUUUCUUCUUUUUUUUUCUCUUUUUUUUUCUAGAGCACUCAUCUCCUGAAAUAAUGUAGCAAGUGGUAGUAACAAGAUAACUUGAGCAUUUAUUUCACAAGGGGAAACAGAAAUAUUUUUGGUUAUUCUCUCCCGGAUUAGGAGUAGAAUACUUUUGGGUGGUUUUGGAGAUGGAAAUGAGUGGAUAUAUGUGGAUGGUACUUCCGGAGUAGAAGUAGCAUGUAUGAGUGAACGUGCAAGUGAAUCUUGAUUUAACCAGAUGACAAGCUCCUAACGGUCUACACAGCUUGACCACACUCAAUGCUCAUAAGCAGUAAAUAGUAAAUGUGUGGCUCAAGGUCUAGCAAGCAUGUAUAUGUGGCUGUGGUAGGAAUUUAAACUCUCAUCAUACAGGAACUCAUCAUGCAACAUUUUAAAGAUUUUCAAAGAUAAAAUUCUCCAGAAUUCUAGCAUCUCUAAGAACAGAUAAACAGCAGCUCAACCUUCCCAUAUCGUAUCCGUUAACAACUUAGACUUCAGCUCAAGUUUUCAUCCCACAAGUUUAGGUCUAGAGCAAGCCUUAAAUUAUAACAGUUAUAUCUAAACUUGAGAGAGAACUUCAAAUUUGCAAAUUAGGCAGAGCAACUAUUCAUCAUAUCCAUGCUUAAGUUUUAUUAGAUACAGAUUAGCAUAGCCACUUUAUUUAUUUAUUAAACAUACUAAGCAAAAUAUAUAUAAGCAUAAAAUCUUUAUUUGGUUUUUCAUAGUUAUGUGUAUUUAUAUUCUAAUAUAGUAUAAGUAUAAAGAUAGAUAGAAAUACUUAUCGAGAAAAAUGGGGGUGCUCUCCCCCAAGCUGAAUUUUGACGUAAUUUCUCUUGAUGUAGCUAGCAGGUGGCAGAGGUGUGUUUGAAAGUCAGCAGUAUUUUGACAGCGAUUAGAAUGUCCUCCGUCUGCUAGUCUUCUUGAUUCUUAAAUUCUGUGGAGCUCAAAUAGACAACAAAGCUUGUGGAACUAAUUAAGUGUUAGCAUAAAUAUCUAACCUUUAUCAUGUCGAGCCUCCUCAAUAUUACUUAUUUAGCAGGAUCAUGCACUUAUUAUUUUUAUAUUUUUAUUGUAAGAUGAAAACUUAUUUAUUUUAUUUUCAUGCCACCACAGUGAAUGUACUUAUGGGUUUUAUGCCAUGAGCAUACUCACAUGGGGCUUACUAUUUUUUAACAUUUAUUUUCUUUUCAAGAUAGCAUGAACCUGAUUAACUAAGCAAACUAUUGAAUGGAAAAGCAUAACUACCAAGUUUACCUCUUGGCAAGGCGUUCGGUAUUUUUAAGUCCUCCGAACGGGACUCUCCGUUUUCUUAGUCGUCCUGGGAUUCGCUAGGUGGCGUAGUCGGUGAUUCCGACGGCGCCUCUUCGUCGUGUAUAACUAUCUUCUCUCUCCACACCUUACUCGGUGCUACGGUCUCCUCAGGACAGUUCUGUUCAAGCCGUAUGUGUUCAGACCUUAUCACUUCUCCUUCGUAGUCUACCCAUCUGUCCUUGAUGAUCUGCCUCCUCUGGUUGCGGUUGCGUUGUCUUCUUCUUGUCCUGACCUGCUUAGAAUCCUCAACUAUAUAGUUAGAAUCAUUAAAGUAGUGGCGUACCUUCUCAGAGAGGAAGUGCAUGUGGACUUCUCCGGUUCCAAUAUAGAUGAUGGGUUUGAUAGUGUUGAGGAACGGUCUUCCAAGGAUGGUGGGUGGAUCGUACUCGUCUUCUCCCAUGUCAAUGACCUGAAAAUUUUCUGGAGCUGAAUGUAUGCUGGUUGUAGGAGCAUGGUUCCAUGCAGGAGCUGAUAAGUGACUGCGGCCAUUAUGUUGACAUCAGAUCCGGUGUCAUAGAGUGUCUUCUAAAAAGAGUAUCUGUUGAUUGUGCACUCGAUACUUGGAACACCAGGGUUGUCCUUCUUGAUCAGGAAUGGCGACUUGAGUCGACGAUCUUGACCUUUUUGAACUGCAGUGACCAUCUUAGCUGACUCAGUCCACAUUUGCUUGUUCCUGUUCCUCCUGUUGGUCCUCUUUCUUGGUUCAUGUCGGGGUUGCUCUGAAGUUUGUGUAGUCUUGUUCUUGAAGGAAAGUCUCCUUCUUCCCCUUGAUGUAGAGACUGAUCUUGGCAGCAUUAGCGUAGAUGACAGCUCUAGUGUUUAGGAAUGGCCUCCCUAAGAUGAUGGGUGCCCUCUCCUCAGUACCAGUCUCUAUCACCAUGAAGUCUGCUAGAGCAUACAUGGUACCAACUCGGACGCAGAGGUUCUUCAAUAUUUCCUUUGGGAAACUGAGUGUCCGAUCUGCAACCCUGGGCAUAAUGUUGACGCUGGAGCCAAAGUCGCAGAGUGCUUCUGGGAAGUCCACCAUGCCGAUGGAGAUCGGGAUGACGGGGCGUCCUAGAUCACCUCUCUGAGUAAUUAGGCCUCUGUUGAUUCCAACCUUGAUGUUGUUGAGGACGGUUGUAGUAAUAGUUGUUAUUGUUGUUGAUGUAGUUCACGUCCUCAAGCAUCUUAGGGCAGUGAUUGCCUGAGCGUCCAGUAUCUCCAGUGUGUUUGUGCUCGUAGAUCCUAGUUCUUCACUUGGUGGAAUCUGGGAGUUGUAAAACUCCUUCAUAUUAUGCUCGAAGUGUUCCUGCUCAUAGAGACAAGGUAGAGAUCAAGUGCAUGGGCCCUGUUGGUGGAAAACACCAACAGAACCAAAAGUGUAUUUGUUCUUCUCUAACCUUAAGCAUAUUGAGCAAGACAAAGUUGAUGGAUCAUGAGUGUAGCAUUUAAAACAUUUGUUAGAUCAGAUGGCUCAACCUAAUGGAAAGAUAAUCUAUCUAUAUUUAUGUUUUGUUUAUAUCUUCCAAAGAUUGAAUGUGCUACAUAUUAGCUUUUUUGAUUAGGAGUGUGAGAUCACGAAGGUAGUACUAAGAACAAAGAUUAAAGGACUAAACAUGCUGAAUCAGUUAGGUUAAUUUAGAGUUAUAAAUCAUACAUGUUUGUCUCUUUAUUUAUGUGAAUGCCAGAACCAAGACGAAGCUUAUAAAAGCGAUAGUCAAGUACCUUAAGAUGUUACCUUACUUGAAGAGUGAUGGUAUAGUAUCACCUUGUGGAAGCUUUCCUUUCUUAGCGGUCGUGCAUCGUGUUUGUGGCACCCUCCAUGGAUCAUCUCUUUAUGAUGAAUGAGCUAUGUCCUUCUUGUGCAAAAUGUUAAAUUUCAUGUGUCUCCUUUAUCUCCAAUGAGUUUGUAUCUCAGGACUACCCAGGUUGAUAUUGAAAGUUUUCCUGCAGGGGUUAGUCCCACAAAAUAUACCAAUAUCUACUCAAGCAGUUUUUAGUUCAGUAACCAAACUAGACUCCAUGUCUAAUCAGAUUAAGGAAGGCUGUUUAACCUAAGCACCAUGCUUAAUUUAAAAGCCAAUGGAAGUAUGUCAAGUACUUCCAAACCAACACUUACUAGGAUAAACAAAGGUAGCAUGAUGGCAUUUAUAGAGAUCUACUCAAGUGGAGAUGAAGUAGUGUGAUUAGUACUUAACAAAUUGAGCAUCUCUCAAAGGUAGGGACAACCAACGUAGCAACAUGGCAAAGGAUGUUUUUAUGUAAAGUACUCCCCCAAGCUUGAAUUUUGCAAAAUUCAAGUUUGGAUGAAUUUAAUUCAAUGUUGUGUGAUGGUUGGUUGGACAUACCUUGUGCUUGUCAUUCAUCCGAUCUUCUUGCUCCAAUCCUGGAAAGGUUAGUGACAAGAAUACCCGAACGAAUAUUUCUACAAUUAUCUUUAUAUGCUCAAUACACAAGGCAAUGUUGCAAAUAAUUAGAAGUUCAUGUUACGAUCUGAUCAGUGCGAAUUAAGCAAUGGUUUAGGACACUAAGCAAAUAAUUAGAAGUGCUAUUUUUAGGACACUAAGCUUGUCCUUGGGGAACCAUCGAUUAACUCAACGAGAUCUGCAAUAUUUAUUAUAGACAUAUGCAUCGACAACCACCCUUUUAAAGUUUUUAUAAAUAGAAAAGAAGAGGGGGUUGGAGAUCUCAAAUGUGGUAAGGAUGGAGAGACAAAUUGAUUGGAGAGAUGUUUUAUAUGAGCAAGGACUGGGUGAGGUAUUUAUGAAAUAACUUCCAUGCUCACUGUUGUUUCUCUCAUUCUCAAACUCCAAGGAUGAUUCUUCAUGAAUGUUUAAAAUUCCUCUAGGAUUGUCUCUCAAGUUUGUUUUAUCUAUCCAUUCAAUGGUGAUAGCACAUGGAUUUUUAAUGCCCUCUAGCCAUUGAUGUUGCUCUUCUCGAUCCUCCUUCUUAUGCAUGGGAUGUCUAGAGAGAUUCAUAGGAUUAUCGGGAGGUUCAAGAGAAAGAGCAUAGUAGAAUUUAUUAAGCUCAAGGAUGGGUUAGAUAGCCGAAUUAUGGGAUUGAGAUGUUUGGAAAUAGGCUAUUGAAACUUUCUUUCCUCGUCUGGGAGAUGAUUCCUUCUCUAUCUCUAAGAUUUUUCUAUGAAGACUAGUACAAGAAGGAUGUCCACGAAUGAAGACAUACCUUCCUUUACCAAUAGAUAAAGAAAGAAGGACUCUACCAAAGGUUAUAUGAUUAAGACCAUGGUGAAAAUAUCGAGAAAAAACAUGGUCUUGUAGGGCUAGGUCUAAACCAGAAUUUAUAGAAAGAUUAAAAGAUUCCCUAGGUGUAGCUAAAAGUGCAUUAUCUUCUUGAUUAAAAGAUAGGACCUCGGCUAUAGAAAAGGGUUGGUUUUGACCUAUUGCAAUCAACUCCGGACACAGAUCAUAAUUAGGGGCAGGACGUGUUGACUCCCAUGGUCUAUGGCUGGUCUCCGAAGGUGCAAAGAAUUUAAUAAUAGGUAUGGAAUUUGAGUUAUCCAUAAAGAUAAAAAUAAAAAGAUAAAAGAAUAAAAGUAUAAAAGUAUAAUACAAGAUAAUAGCAAGACUCAAAGUUAUCUCAGCAAACCGUCUUUCUCCCCGGCAACGGCGCCAGAAAUGCUUGUUGAUAUUUGGUAACGCAAUAAGGAAAUGAUCCGCAAGCGCACGGAUAUCGGUGAGCAUUUCACCCGGGAGAUUUUCCAGAGUAUCGUAUUUAUAUUUUUACCACUAGGAGAAAGGGUGCAUCUGACUAACCAAAUCUAUUGCUACUACCCCUUUAGGCUACAAAGAAUGUCUCUCGAUGUGAGUGAUGUAUAGAGAAGACUGCAACCGUAGUCUCGUUCUAACCUUGGUAAGGAUGAUCUACUGUUCUAUUGGGGAGGCUCACGGAAUCUAGACAACACAAAGGAUGUUCGACCCGCACCUAUAACCCUACCCGUCCUGCUAACGAGAUGUGAUCUACAAAGGUAACUCGGAAAUGUCACGUUCCUCGCUACUACCAAGGUCCAGCUAGUCAGGGGAUAUCUAUGAGUACCCUAGCCUAAACACCACGUUUACGCUAAUAAGUGAUUACUCUAAUACUCAACCGGAAGAGGAUUAAAGUAAACUCAUAAACCAAAGAACAAUAAAACAAGAACUUACUAGUAUUAGAAGUGGAAUUACUAAAGAAUCUUAGAAGCAAGCCUCGGGUUAGGAGACUUGAUCCCGUAGGUACAACUCGGAGUAGACACCGACAUGCCGGCCUUCCUCCGAUCCACACCUCCACUCUAUCUCUCUCAAUCUAGUAGAAACUAGAAGAUCUAUUUCUACCUUACAUUGGUUGCUAAGCCUAAAAAGAAAUAUUAUUUAGAGAAGAGGUUUUCCUUCGAGGGCACCCCUCAAUCUCUAUGAUAAUUUCUUGUCUCCUCCAGGGGCCAGAGGGGGUCUCCUUAUAUAGUCCUCCCCUUCUAUGCGUUUUUGGGUCGAUAGGCGAGGUGGUACUAUGUUAUUCUGGAUCCAAUAGGUCGGUGGAACGUCGUGUGCGAAGAGAGUCCGGAACGGAGUCUAGAGGGGGGCGGGCGCCCAAGUCCUCAGGGCGGGCGCCCUGGGCCUGGCCCCUUUCGGGCUCCGCUUCCUUCCCGUGGCUUCUGGAGUCUUCUAGAUGGUAGAAAAUUGCACGGUGGGUUGAUAUCUCUAUGUAAUCCCGACAUGUGGGCCUUUCUUCCUUAUUUCCUGAUAACCCCCUGCAGAAAUAGAGAAACACCAAAACUCGUAGAAUUCUGUCAGAUAAAACCCUAAGUCUAGAUGUUGAUUUCAUUUGGAUCUUUUUCUUUGUUUAUUUGAUAAUUAAAUUUGAUACUUAAGGACCGUCAACAUUAUCCAUCUCAGCUUCUAGGAUUCUAUCUAGGAUCACUCUAGCUUCAUCACUAGGGAUACGAAAGAAAGAACCUCUAGACAUUGUGUGUAGCAUUUGUUUGUGAUUUUUCUGAAAACCUUGAAAAAAGUGAAAUAAAAGAAUAGGCUCUUCAAGAUUAAGGUUUGGACCAGAUUCUAAAAGAUCAGAAAAACGUUUCCAGGAUUUUCCCAAAGUUUCAUUAUUUUUUGUUUAAAAGAUAGGACUUCGAGUCUAUGGUCGGCUAUACGGUCGAGGGAAUAGAAAUCUAGACAAAAGUUGGCUCGUAAAACUCCCCAUUCACCUCGUUGUUGACUUACCUUCUGACUGUACCAUUGUCGAGCUUCUCCCCUUAAAGAAAAAGGGAAAAGCUUCCAACGUAAAGUUUUAUCAGAAAUACCUUCAAUGCGAAGACAAUCACAUGUUUGCUCAAAAUCUCUAAUAUGAAGGUAAGGGUUUUCGUCUUCCUUUCCCGAAAAAGAUAGGUUUUGAAUCAUGGCAAUCAACCUAGAACUUAACUUAUACUGGGAUGUUUGGAUAGGCUGUGAUGAUUCCCACGGUAAGAGGUCAGUUACUGAAGGGAUUGCAGAUUCAUGGAUCGAUUUAGAAUUUUGGUUUUCCAUAAGGUAAGAGUAAAGAAAAUAAAUAAAUAAUAUAAAAGAUAAGAAAAUAUAAAAGUAUAGAUACAAGCUAGUAGUAAGACUCAAGGUUAUCUCAGCAAACCGUCUUUCUCCCCGGCAACGGCGCCAGAAAUGCUUGUUGAUAUUUGGGAACGCACUAAGGAAUUGAUCCGCAAGCGCACGGAUAUCGGUGAGCACUUCACCCGGAAGGUUAUCCAGAGUAUCGUAUUUAUUUUUUUACCACUAGGAGAAAGAGUGCAUCUGACUAACCCGGUCUAUUACUACUAACCCAUUAGGCAACAAAGAAUGUUUCUCGAUGUGAGUGAUAAAUAGAGAAGACUGCAACCGUAGUCUCCUUCUAACCUUGGUAAGGAUGAUCUACUGUUCUAUUGGGGAGGCUAACAGAAUCUAGACACCACAAAGGAUGUUAAACCCACACCUAUAAACCCUAUUCUUCCUGCUAACGAGAUAUGGUCUGCAAAGGUAACUCAGAAUUGUCACGUUCCUCACUACUACCAUGGUCUAGCUAGUCAGGGAAUAUCUAUGAGUACCCCAGCCUAAACACCACGUUUAUGCCAGCAAUGAUUACUCUAAACUCUACAUGAAGAGAUUAAAGUAAACUCAUAAACCAAAAGAACAAUAAAACAAGAACUUACUAGAAUUUAGAAGUCGAAAUACUGAAGAAUCCUAGGAGCAAGCCUCGGGUUAGGAGAACUUGAUCCCGCAGGUACAAGCUCGGAGUAGACACCGACAGGCCGGGCUUCCUCGUUGGUUGCUAAGCCUAAAAAAGAAAUUUUAUUUAGAGAAGAGGUUUUCCUUCGAGGGCACGCCUCAACUCUAUGAUAACUUCUUGUCUCCUCCAAGGGCCAGGGGGUCUCCUUAUAUAGUCCUCCUCCUCUAUGCAUUUUUGGGUCGGUAGGCGAUGUGGUACUACGUUAUCCUUGAUCCUUUAGGUCGGUGGAACAUCAUGUGCGAAGAGAGUCCUGAUUGGCAUCCAGAGGGGGGCGGGCGCCCAGGUCCUGAGGGCGGGCGCCCUGGGCCUGGCCCCUUUCGGCCUCUGCUUUCUUCCCGUGGCUUCUAGAGUCUUCAAGAUGGUAGAAAAUUGCGUAGUGUGUUGAUAUCUCUAUGUAAUCCUGACAUGUGGGCCUUUAGAAACAGAUAAACUUCAAGAUAAACAACAAAACUCGUGGAAUUCUAUCAGAUCAAACCCUAAUUCUCACCGUGUUCAUUCUUCAGGUGCGUCAUUUGAUUCAGGUGUGGACCUUGACGUCUGCACCUCUUAAUACGGUGUCACCCAUGUUCUUCGUUUGCCCAGUAGUUCGAAGUGCGGUGUUGGCAGUAUCUUGCUCAGUGUGUUUGUGCUUGUAGUGUACCUGCUCAUAGAGACAAGGCAGAGAUCAAGUGCAUUGGCCCUAUUGGUGGAAAACACCAACAGAACCAAAAGUGUAUUUGUUCUUCUCUAACCUUAAGCAUGGUGAGCAAGACAAAGUUGAUGAAUGAUAAGUUCAUGAGUGUAGCAUUUAAAACAUUUGCCAGAUCAGAUCGCUCAACCUAAUGGAAAGAUAAUCUAUCUAUAUAUAUGUCUUUUUCUUUAUAUCUUCCCAAAGAUUAAAUGUGCAACAUUUUAGCUCAUAUGACUAGGAGUGUGGGGAUCAAAGAUUAAGGGACUAAACAUGCUGAAUCAGUGGGGUUGGUUAAUUUGGAGUUAUAAAUCAUACAUGUUUGUCUCUUUUAUUCAUAUGAACGCCAGAACCAAUGAGAAGCUUAUAAAAGUGAUAGUCAAGUACCUUAAGGUGUUACCUUAAUUGAAGAGUGAUGGUACAGUCUCACCAUGUGGAAGCUUUCCUUUAUUAGCGGUCGUGCAUCGUGUUUGUAGCACCCUCCAUGGAUGAUCUCUUAUGAGCUACGUCUUCCUUGUGUAAAUUGUUAAACUUCAUGUGUCUCUCUCUUUGUCUCUGAUGUGAGUUUAUCUCAGGACUUCCCAGGUCGAUAUUGAAAGUUUUCCUACAGGGGUUAGUCCAACAAAAUAUCCAAUAUCUACUAUAGCAUACUAUCGGCUCAAAAAUCAACUAGACACCAUGUCUAAUUUGAUUUAGGAGGGCAUUUUAACCUAAGCACCAUGCUUAAUUUAAAAUCCCUUGGAAGUAAGGUCAUCAUUCCUAAACUAAGCACCAUGCUUAUUUAAGAGAUAAAUGAAACUACUCCAAACCUAGACAUAUACUAAAGCAAAUAAAGGUAGCAUGAGAGUAUUUAUAGAGAUCUACUCAAGUGGAGAUGAAGUAGUGUGAUUAGUAUUUAACAAAUGGAGCAUGUCUCAAAGGUAGGGACAACCAACAUAGCAACAUGGCAAAGGAUGUUUUUAUGUAAAGUACUCCCCCAAGCUUGAAUUUUGCAAAAUUCAAGUUUGGAUGAAUUUCAAUGUUGUAUGAUGAUUGGUUGGACAUACCUUGAGCUUGUCAUUCAUCCAAUCUUCUUGCUCCAAUCCUGGAAAGGUUAGUGACAAGAAUACCCGAAGGAAUAUUUUUACAAUUAUCCUUAUAUGCUCAAUACGCAAGGUAAUGUUGCAAAUAAUUAAAAGCUCAUGUUAUGAUCUGAUCUGUGCUUAUUUUAGGACAUCAAGCUUGUCCUUGGGAAACCAUCAAUUUAUGUCGGCGAAGUGGUUUCCCUUCCAACGCUAACCUAUAUCAAGAUCAAGUCAACGAGAUCUACAAUAUUUAUUAUAGACAUAUGCAUCGAUAACCGCCCUUUUAAAGUUUUUAUAAAUAGAAAGGAAGAGGGGGUUGGAGAUUUCAAAUGUGGUGAUGUUGGAGAGACCAAUAGAUUGGGAAGAUGUUGCAUAUGAGCAUGGAGCAAACGAAGUGGCUAUGAAAUAAAUUCCAUGCUCAUUAAUGUUAUCUUCGUCUCCAAUAUAAAUGUUCGGAGUUUCUCCUGGAUUGGUCUCACCUAUGUCCUCUUCUGUAGUUGGAUGAAUAUCAUCUUCAAAGGGAGUCAAGAACUCACCAUUUGAAAUUGAGCCAAAGUCAGAAUCCAUUAAAGCUUCUUCCUUAUCCAUCCAUUCUAUGCAUUCUAGUCAUUUGAAACUUGUGAUCAGGAAAGGGGAGGUGUUAGAAUCUUCUAUAUGGCUUAGCUCUCCUUCUAUGGCAUUACUUGACAUGCCAUCCUUAUGGUCUUCAUGACUCCUAUGGUUUGAUCGUCUUGAUGGAUUGCUAGGAUCAUCAUGAGACUUAAAAGGAGAGGGAUAAGAGGGGUCUCUAAGGUCAAGGAUGGAUUUAGAAUUUGUGAACAUGGAAGGGGAGCAGAUAGAAUCUUCUAUAUGGUUUAGCUCUCCUUCACUUGAUAUGUCAUCCUCGACUUCUUCAUAACAGGAACGAGGACAUUCUCCAAGAGAACCAUUAUUGCAAGGAUUUGAAUUAUGCCUGCUUGAAGGUCUCUUAUGGAACCAGAAGUCUAAACCAUCAGUAUCUGAAAUAUUUAAGGUUGGAAUUCCUUCCUCCCUUGGAGAAUUUUGGGGUAUUGAUGGUUUAGAAUCGAUAGCUAAAGUUUGGGAUUGAAGUGGUUGUGAUCUGGCUAUCGAAACUUCUUUUUCUUGUCUAGGAACUGGUUCUUUCUCUUUCUCAGAGAUAUAAAAGCUAGGAGACUUUCCGCUCAUUAAAUCAAUCAAAUUCCAAGCUUCACUAGUGGAUAGGUGGUGGAAAGAUCCUCCAGAGGCUGUAUUCAAUGUUUGCUUAUUUUUCCUACUAAGGCCCUCAAAAAAGUGAAUUAGAAGAACUUCUUCUGGAAUAGAAAGCUUUGGGCCUGUGAGAGUAAGGUUAAUAAAGCGGUCCCAUGAUUUGCCAAGAGAUUCUUCUUCCAGUUGUCUAAAAGAAAUAAUCUCACACCGAAGUUCCGCCACUUUGGAGAUUGGAAAAUAUUUUAAAAGAAAACUAUUAUGUAACUCCUUCCAAUCUCCAUGAACACUCCCUACCUCGAGUUUGUACCAAUGUCUAGCUUUUCCUGUUAAAGAGAACGGAAAGAGCUUCCAUUUAAGGGUCUGAUCGGACAUGCCUUCAAUGCGAAGGAGGUCACAGACUCGAUAAAACUCUUUUAGGUGUGUGUAUGGUUUUCCUCACCUUCUCCUGAGAAAGGUUAUUUUUGAACAAAUUCUAUAUAUUCGGGGUCUAUCUCAAAACUAGAUGCUAUGCUAGGCUUUGAAGAUUUUGGUGGUUCGAGAUGUGUGCACGUAGGUCUAUGAAAUUCAUAGAUAGACAUGUUUGAAUUCAUGAUAGACCAGAGAUCAAGGAUUAGAUAAGAAGAAAGAAUAGCAGAGAUAAGGCAAAAGAUAACAGGAAAACCACGUGAUAAGAAUACACCACAAAGGAUGCUUAUCCAUAGGCCGAUAAACCCUACCCGUCCUGCUAACGAGAGGUGGACUACAGGGGACCAACGUAACUGUCACCUACGCGGCCUACCACACGAUCCAGCUAGACAGGGGAUAUCCACAAGUAAUCUAGGUCUAAGCACCACGCUUACACCUAUACUACAACUCUAACCUAUAGGGUCCUAUAGAUUAGAAGUACUCAAAAGAGUUGUGAACCAGAACAUACAUGAUUAGUAAUUGCAUACUGAAUUAGAAGUAGAUUACUAGAGUCAUCCCAUGAGCAAGCUUAAUUAGAGCUUGAUCAUGAUGAAGUACAACCGGAGGAAGAACCGACAGGCCGGCCUCUCCUCUAAUCCUCCUUCGCUCUCCAUCUUGCUACUAUCUAGAUCUACUCUAGUUUAGAGAUGAGAGGAGAGCUCUCAUCUCCAAAGACUAGCUUUUGCUCUGUCUAUGAAUAAUGAAUAAUGAUCAAGGGGUGCCUCCUCCAGGGAACAGGGGGUCUGGUUAUAUAGUCCCCUCAAGUGAAUCUAGGCCGUCGGAUCAAACCGACAUUGAUUGAAAGGUUAUCCUUGAUCCUUUAGGUCAGUGGAGAUUGAUCCCGAAAGAGAGUCCUGUUUGGACUCCAUGAGGGGGCGGGCGCCUAGGUCAACUGGGCGGGCGCCCAGGGCCUGGCUCUGUUCGGCCUCCGCUUCCUUCCUGUGGCUUCUGGAGUCUUCUAGAUGUAAGAUAAUUGCGCGGCAUGUUGAUAUCUCUAUGUAAUCCCGACGUGUGGGCCUUUCUUCCUUAUUUCCUGAUAACCCCUGCAGAAAUAGACAAACACCAAAACUUGUGGAAUUCUGUCAGAUAAAACCCUAAGUUUAGAUGUUGGUUGUAUUUGGAUCCUUUUCUUUGUUUAUUUGCUGAUUAUAUUUGGUACUUAAGGACCGUCAACAACUCCCCCAAGCUUACCUCUUGCUCGUCCCUGAGCAAGGAUGGACUCAAGAGUUUCUGCAGUGGUUUUUUGCCUUAAAGGUACUCAUGCGUUCAAACAAGAUCUCAUCACUAGGUUAAGGUAAACUGUUAAGAUUUAAACUUACUCAUAUUACCUUUCACCAUGGGGCUUGCAACCGUCACUUGUGUCUUGAGCAGUUAAAAGAUAGAACGGUCAAGUCAAGCACCAUGUCUCUUGUUCUUUGAUCAACUAUAGCUCUGGAGUUUUUUUUGCAGAUUUUCAAAUAAAACUCAGAGAUUCCUUGUAUGACUCUCUCAAUUCUCUCUUUUGUGGUAUUUCUGGAUCCUUACCAAGGCAGUGAUGAUAUAUGCCUUCUCUCAAAGCAUGUGGUAUUUUUGGUAUGAGGCAUAGUGAUAUUGCCUUCUCUCUCACCCUACUCUAACAAGAUUUGAUAUCUGGAGCUCAUAGGUGGGAGACAGCUAAUACAUACUUACAAGACAUUUAUUGCAUAGUCAAACCAUGGAUCCAGAGAAACAAGUCAAUAAGUCAAAUCAAGAUGUGCAUGUGUGGCGAAUGAAUGGUGUAUGGUGAUAAUGGUGAUAAUGAUGAAAACAAUGGUGAAAGUCUAAUUCUACGUUUGCUCUUUUGAGGGGAUACAUACCUUUCUUGCACUUUGAAGCUUUUUGAGGGGAAUGAGAUGCUCUAUAUUUUCUUCUUCUUUUCUCUCAGGUGGGUAUCUUGUACCCCUAAUUCUACUAUCGCACACUUGUCCAUUUUUACCUCUCGUCUCACUUUUUCUUUUCUUUCGAGGUUCCGGGCACUUGCCCCUUUUUAUUUUCUCAUAUUUUUCUCUUCUCUCUCUUUUUUUAGAGCACUCACCCUCCUAGAAUAAUGUAGCAAGUGGUAGUAACCAAAAUAUCAACAACAUUUAUUUCACGGGGAAUAACAGGGAUAGGAUAAUGUUUUUGGCUAUUCUCUCCUGAAUAGGAGUAGAAUAAUUUUGGGUGAAUCUGGAGAUGGAAAUGAAUGGAUGUAUGUGGAUGCGUACUUCCGGAGUAGAAGCAGCAUGUAUGAGUGAACGUGCAAGUGGAUCUUGAUUUUAACCGCAUAACAAGCUCCUAAGCGUCUACAUAGCUUGACCACACUUAAUGCUCAUAAGUAGUAAAAAGUAAAUGUAUGGUUCAUAGUCUAAUAAGCAUGGCUGUGGUAGGAUUUUAAACUCUCAUCAUACAAGAACUCAUCAUGCAACAUUUUAAAUAUUUUCAAAGAUAAAAUUCUCCAGAAUUCUAGCAUCUCUAGGAACAGAUAAACAGCAGCUCAACCUUCCCAUAUCAUAUUCGUUAACGAUUUAGACUUUAGAUCAAGUACUCUUCCCACAAGUUCAGGUUU
rnacentral:lncRNA from 1 species